GGUCUGGAUGCUUUCCAUGGCGGGGGGCUGAGCUCAGGGGCUCCGUCUAGAGAGGACACGUGAGCUAAGACCUCACCAGCAUGGAGGAGCCCAUGUGGGGAGCGUUUGAGGAAGAGCAUUGCAGAUAAGUGAGGUUUUGAGGUCUUUGCUGAGGUGCUCUGCAUCCUGGAUCCCAUGAUAGGCCCUGGAAGUCCAGCUGUCAGCAGGAGAGACCUGUCUCCCACGGCAACCUCAAGCCUGUACUCCACGCACAGGAGUCUGUUUCCAUUUCAUAGGUUAAGUGAGCCAUCCAGGUUUUACACGCGCUGGUCGAGAUGGGGUUCAUGUGACUCCAGCACCCCUCUCUCUGGGCUGCCUCCUGAGAUACCCAGGCCCCAGCCAGGAGCCUCGGCGUGGCAUGGGAUCAUGUGGCUCUGUUGGGCCGCCUUCUCCCCAAUGAACGUCA
ensembl:lncRNA